CCUCUCCUUUUAUCCUUUUUUGUUAGCAGCUCAAAAUUCGUUAUCUUUCU
rnacentral:tRNA from 2 species